GUAACGCGUAAGAAUCUAACUUCAGGACGGGGGCAACAGUUGGAAACGACUGCUAAUACCCGAUGUGCCGAAAGGUGAAACCUAAUUGGCCUGAAGAAGAGCUUGCGUCUGAUUAGCUAGUUGGUGGGGUAAGAGCCUACCAAGGCGACGAUCAGUAGCUGGUCUGAGAGGAUGAGCAGCCACACUGGGACUGAGACACGGCCCAGACUCCUACGGGAGGCAGCAGUGGGGAAUUUUCCGCAAUGGGCGAAAGCCUGACGGAGCAACGCCGCGUGAGGGAGGAAGGUCUUCGGAUUGUAAACCUCUUUUCUCAAGGAAGAAGUUCUGACGGUACUUGAGGAAUCAACCUCGGCUAACUCCGUGCCAGCAGCCGCGGUAAUACAGGGGAGGCAAGCGUUAUCCGGAAUUAUUGGGCGUAAAGCGUCCGCAGGUGGUCAGCCAAGUCUGCCGUCAAAUCAGGUUGCUUAACGACCUAAAGGCGGUGGAAACUGGCAGACUAGAGAGCAGUAGGGGUAGCAGGAAUUCCCAGUGUAGCGGUGAAAUGCGUAGAGAUUGGGAAGAACAUCGGUGGCGAAAGCGUGCUACUGGGCUGUAUCUGACACUCAGGGA
rnacentral:rRNA from 1 species